UACGAAGGGGGGCUAGCGUUGCUCGGAAUUACUGGGCGUAAAGGGCGCGUAGGCGGAUAUCUAAGUUGGGGGUGAAAGCCCGGGGCUCAACCCCGGAACAGCCUUUAAGACUGCAUCGCUAGAAUCCGGGAGAGGUGAGUGGAAUUCCGAGUGUAGAGGUGAAAUUCGUAGAUAUUCGCAAGAACACCAGUGGCGAAGGCGGCUCACUGGCCCGAUACUGACGCUGAGGCACGAAAGCGUGGGGAGCAAACAGG
rnacentral:rRNA from 1 species